rnacentral:rRNA from 2 species
GUGCGAGACCGAUAGCGAACAAGUACCGUGAGGAAAAGAUGAAAAGAACUUUGAAAAGAGAGUUAAAGAGUACCUGAAACUGCUGAAAGGGAAGCGAAUCGUAUCCAGUGUCUAUAAUCUGCGGCAUAUUUCAUUGGCGGCGGUGCGCGUGCUUUUGCGUCGGAAGCGGCUUUUGUUGCUCUGUGCUUUUGCUGUGCGUGGUGUUGCUGGUGCCCUGUGUUGCGGUGGGACGUCAGAGUCAGUUUGUAUGCUGCGGGAAAUGGUUGCUGGGGAGGUAGGUCGCUUCGGUGGCUAUUAUAUCCUGGUGACUAGUCGUCGUGGCUGGGACUGAGGUGCCUACAACGUGCUUUUGAGUGUACCGGGUUCUCAUUUGGUGGACUGUUUGGAUAGCUUGCUAUGCUUGUGGUUUUUUCAUCGAGUGAUUGAGUCUGGUGGUAACUUGUUGCUGUUCGGGACUUUGA